ACAGAUUAUAGAAGCAGACGAAUUCAGCCAUUCAAAAAUCACAAAUCACAGAUUUUGAGUUUCAUAAAUUCAUGCAUUCAUCAUUCACAAAGGCCGAAAUCAUAAUUAGUCAACCGGUGUCGCUGGACAGGAAGAAAAAUUACUAAAUCAAAAUUGUUAAUGUACUAACCUUAUCACUCAGAUUAAGGUUUGAAUUGCAAUUGGUGACUUCAAUGUGGACGAGUGGAAGCAAGUAGAAAUGACGAUAGGAAGGAGCAGGCUGAAUCCUUUGCUGUUUUCCCUUUCUUAUCGUUUGCAGUUUUGCCGAUUGCGAUUUUUCCUUUCCAAUCGUUGAAUCGAUGGCAGGAGGGAGUCAGCGACGUGUUUUUCAAUUGUGGGCUACUGGGUCUUUAUGCAGUGUUAGGUAGUGGGAGGUUCCUCUCGUGAACAUUUUCUUGCCAUUCGUAGAAUCGCCGGCAGGAGGGAGUCUGAGACUGGGUUUUGAUCGUCGGGUUGGUGGGUUCUACUUCAGCGUUAGCAAUGAGAGGGGAGAGGUUCUCUCGUGAUUGUCUAUGGCAGGGGAUGGUUGCUUCAAUAAUUUAAUUGCUGGUCCAUCCCUGGAACCAUGGUUUGGUUUUGGGUUUGUCAAAUUUUUCCCCAAAAUUUUUCAAUAAUGCUGGUGGUACAUCAGCCACUACCUAAUGGUGUACCUAAUGGUGAGGUG
rnacentral:lncRNA from 1 species